rnacentral:rRNA from 1 species
GAUGAACGCUAGCGACAGGCCUAACACAUGCAAGUCGAGGGGAAGGACAGCAAUGCCCGAGACCGGCGCACGGGUGCGUAACGCGUAUGUAACCUGCCUUACACCGGGGGAUAGCCUUCCGAAAGGGAGAUUAAUACCGCAUAAUACUAUUUGUCAGCAUUGGCUUAUAGUUAAAACUGAGGUGGUGUAAGAUGGGCAUGCGUAUGAUUAGCUAGUUGGGGGGGUAACGGCCCACCAAGGCGACGAUCAUUAGGGGUUCUGAGAGGAAGAUCCCCCACACUGGUACUGAGACACGGACCAGACUCCUACGGGAGGCAGCAGUGAGGAAUAUUGGUCAAUGGGCGGAAGCCUGAACCAGCCAUGUCGCGUGCAGGAAGACUGCCCUAUGGGUUGUAAACUGCUUUUGUAUGGGAAGAACAUCAGAUACGUGUAUCUGUCUGCCGGUACCAUACGAAUAAGGAUCGGCUAACUCCGUG